GUGCUCACUUCAGCAGGCAUAUAUACUAAAUUUGGAGUAGAUACAGAGAUUAGCAUGGCCCACUGCACAAGGAUGACAUGAGAAUUUGUGAAUUAUUACAUUUUUUU